CUUUAGCUCCUCUAAGUGUUGGCUCGCCGGGUAUCAGAAGGAAUUGUUUACUCCAAGGCUUGGGUGAGGCUUCAAUAAAAUCACUUUUUCUGAAGCAACUCAGAAUCGGCUUACUACACGUAACUGGAAAUAGUCUUUUCUACACGCAUUAGACAUCGCGAAUACUCACAAUGAUGGGGUGUUUGUGGAGCUGAUAUCAGUUGUUGGAUCAGAAAGAGUGAUGGGAGCUAAAGAAACCUGAGAUGGAGAAGGCAUGGCCCAGACAAGGCAGGGGGUGCCAAGAGGGAGCUCCUGUCCAGGACACAACCGAGAGGAAGAGAGAGAUCUCCCAAAGACCAUUUAACAGCACUCUUCAUUUCAGAAAGAAGGUCACGGGCCGAUAACUUCAGGGACACCAGACCGGGUUGCUGAGCCACUUGAUGCCAGCUUUGGCCAUAAGUUUGCAGAAGAAAAGAAAUGCAAGACCUUCACCACUUUUGAUCCUUAUCACAUACCCCGGACUGAGAGCCCCAUGUAUGAAUUCUUCCCUGAUCCCUCUAGGAGGGUGGCACAGUUCUUGAGGCGUUAGCCUACUGUGUCUUCCCUUUGCCUGGCAAAGAAAAUAAAAAGCCUCUCUAUUUCUUA